rnacentral:rRNA from 1 species
UACGGAGGGCUAGCGUGUUCGGAUUGACUGGGCGUAAAGCGCACGUAGGCGGCUUUGUAAGUUAGAGGUGAAAGCCCGGGGCUCAACUCCGGAAUUGCCUUUAAGACUGCAUCGCUAGAAUUGUGGAGAGGUAAGUGGAAUUCCGAGUGUAGAGGUGAAAUUCGUAGAUAUUCGGAAGAACACCAGUGGCGAAGGCGACUUACUGGACA